CACGAUUGACUGCAGGAGUUACAGGAAUUCUUUUCUUCUCUUCCUCCUGAAUGGCUUGGGUUAUGUCUGGGGAUGAGUAGGAGCGUUUCAGUUUGGAGUGCUCUCGUUCCCGCUCAACAGCCACCUGUGGCUUGGGUUUGCGGGUUGGUGGGGUGGCUGGAGGGGUGGAUGAGGGAGCCAUUUCUGGUGGAUACAUCUGAACAGUGUUCGUUGGCGAGUGAUAGUAACGAAAGGUUCCAGUGAUUGGAUCCAGAAACUUUGGGGGGGAAAGGAAAAGAGUUUUAAAACUAGGUUUAUGAAGUACUGCAGGAACAAUACAUGAGUUUCUUAAACACUGAGACCUUAACAAUAGCUACUGUCCUCAAUACUUAGUGGAUUAAAUUUAGCGGAAGGUGCCACUUUCACCUACAUGCAUUUAAACAGCAACUCCUUAGUACUAGAAUCAGCAGAUGAGCUUCCCUGAUUUCAUUACAGAAAAUUCAGAAAGAAGUCAGAAAAUAACUGCGUGUGGAAAUCAAAGAGGCAAAAAUAAAGAUGUGACUUAAAAAUGUGACAACUGAAAGGCACUGGGAAAUUGCACAAGGAGCUUGAUUAUGACAUCAGAAUAGAAAGUUACCUUUGCCCAACCGUCAGGCAGUCCUGGUAUUACCCUCCCCAUUUCUUCACUUCGUGCUCUGGUCAAUGGCUCCCGCUGGGACUUAUUUGGAGAUACAUCACCCAGUACACGUCUCUGCGUAUCCGGUGUUCGAGUUCCCUUUUCUCUUUUUUCUAUAGAUAUUUUGUCAGUCUCAACCUUUUUUGCAUCAAUGCUUUCUGGUUCAUUUUUAUUUUGCUUUUUUGCUUCUAUUGCUUCUUUGCGUGCUUUUUCUUUUUCCUUCUCCUCCUGUUCUCUUUUUAUCUGCUCAUCUCUCUCCUUCUGUUCCCUCUCCUCCUUGGAUUGCUGUAGCUUUUCUUUGUGUUCCUUUUCUCUCUGUUCUUCCUUUGCCUUUUGCUCCUGUUCUUCCUUUUCUCGCUUGAGUCUCUCUUUUUGUUCUUCCUUCUGCCUCUCCCGCAGUUCUUUUUCUCGUCUGUUUUUCUCCAUCAGAGCAGCAGUUUCUGCAUGCACACGGCUUUUUUCUUCUUCUGUCAGAACACUCUUAGCAUCAAGUAAUGGCUUUGUGGACCGGUCCGGAACCACGCGGCCCUUCUCAAUAGGUUGGCUGUCACUGA
rnacentral:lncRNA from 1 species